rnacentral:rRNA from 1 species
UACGGGGGGGGCAAGCGUUGUUCGGAAUUACUGGGCGUAAAGGGCUCGUAGGCGGCCAACUAAGUCAGACGUGAAAUCCCUCGGCUUAACUGGGGAACUGCGUCUGAUACUGGAUGGCUUGGAUUCGGGAGAGGAAUGCGGAAUUCCAGGUGUAGCGGUGAAAUGCGUAGAUAUCUGGAGGAACACCGGUGGCGAAGGCGGCAUUCUGGACCGACAUUGACGCUGAGGAGCGAAAGCCAGGGGAGCAAACGGG